rnacentral:rRNA from 1 species
CCUUUUACAACUACGGCGUAAUUAGAGGUUUGUUGGUGCGCAAUUUCAGGGUGGGCGUUAGUGGUUUAUUGGGUGGGUAGGCGUCGACGGUUGAGAGCGGGAGACGGGGACAGAGGGCGCCGCCCCCUAGAGUAGGGCCGGUAGGAGACGGAGCCUCUGGGGGCCUAAAGGGAAGGGAUAAACCAAACUAGUAGAAAGACUCGAAAAAACACGAUGAAAGGAAUUAAAAGAAGGACCGGCUCCAGGUCAGGUUAGGGGUAGGUGUUAGCGUCGGGGAGCGAGAGCGGCGGCCGCACCCCUAAGGGACGAACGGGGGGCAUCGGACGCUAGAAAAACGGAGCCUCAGCGAGCCUAAGGCACGACGCCGACCAACCCUAAGGGAAAGACGUGGGAGUCGACCUCGUUGGGGAUGGCUUUAGGAGACAAGUCGUUAUUAAAAAAAAAGGUCAAAACCCGUUCCCUUGGCGAGAGGGUGAAGUAAGGGGUUGAAACGUGGCAGGCCGCUCAGGUUUACCCCCACGUCGUUAGGUUCCUCCUCGACGACAUGGUCGUCCACUUGAUGCCGUUGUAGCUCCCCUAAGCCUUGGAGGCCCGCGUCCCGCGCCCGCAACUCACCUAACUGUUCCUUCCCUUCUGCGGGGACUACCAGCGGUCGUACGCGGGACUAGACGACUUACACCGAUUUCGAAACUAACUUAACCCACGUUUACACUUACGCAUAGCCGGACCUAGUGUGCGACCCUGACGUAACGUGGUACGACGGUUUUUUCCUGAACUAGGCUGACAGGUAAAUGAAGAGAGUGUACCUCGAUUGGGUAAGUAUUGUUUACUACUGACGUUAUGGCGUGAACUGGACCGAUCUCUUUUCCCAGUACACUUGCAACAUUCCCGGUAUCUCCCUGCCUAAAGAGAAAAAAGACCUACCUACUCCCUCUUAAUACCAGGACCAAAGAACCUUCGCAAACGAGGAGUCAAGUACUGAUCCUUCUAAACCCGUCACUAAAAUGGCGCACUUCGUGCCUUGGGCUGUUCUGGACAGUUCGAACUCAAUCGAUAUAUAGGACUUAACGUCCGACGAUUUGGAGCACAACAACAGUUUGAAACCUUUAGAGUUGAACUCCUUGGUUUCAUAUUAGACCGACUAGGAAGGUACUGUUAAAAACUGUUUCAAUGUUUUAGAUCUAUGUUCGAAAAUGGCCGAAUACUUCCACUGUUCGUCGUCGAAGCUAGUAAAAUAUCACGUACAACACCGUACCGUGUCCAACGGUCGUACCAAGGACGUGCUGGUCACUUACGGGGGUCAGGUUUAGGUUAAGGUUUAGGCAGAAACCGUGGAAGUCGCCUCAGCUGAGGGUCAUUCCUCCUAGAACUCAAUCGCUACCGAUAGUUACGGAGGUAGGUUAGUCGAUAUCGUCUCCCCCACGGGUUACACGUCGGUUACUGUAGUUGCUUGUCGAGAGAGUUGCCUACCCCGAGUGGUCUAAGAGGUCGCGGAAGUUUUUGCUCACCGGUUCGUGUCCAACUACGAGGUUCGUCGUCGUUUAUGUUGCCUACCCUACAUGGACCUUGUUCGAGAUUGGUUUCAAGUAGCUUUGGAUUGUUUUCAGUUUUGUUGUUGGGAAGCUAACACUAAUGUGGACUCCGUGAAGGCCAAGGUUGUGGUUGACGUGAAGGCCAAGGUUGUGGUUGACAUGAAGGUUGAGAAGGUUGUGGUUGACGCGGUGGUGAACGACUUCCUUGGAAGAUGCUACCGGGAUAACUCAUAGGCAGGUAUCUAAAGUGUGGUCAACUACAUUGGUACGGUGGGUGCCUUCCACCACCAUGCCGCGAUUUGAGACGUUUUGGACAUCUUUUACCUCGGCUACGUUCGUCGUCACCAUUGUGGGGGAGACCAUGAACACACUAAACGAACCUACGAGGACACCUUCCUCGGACGUAAGGUACACCAGUGUACCGACCAACGUACAGGACGAACUUCCUAUAGCUCAGCUUCUUUACCCCCACGGGGUAAACAGCACGGUUCUAGUUGGUCUAAUAGGCGGACAUACGCCAAACUUGUCGAUUUUGUUACUUCGCCGUACAGUGUGUGUAGUAACUACCCACGAAGGGGGAUAAUUCAAGACUAUGCUCUUCAUUACAAUAUAACGACAACGUCCACAUGAUAAUGUUUAAUAAGGAAAGCAAAAUACACUAGAACUUCGAUGUUGUGACUUCCGUUGAGUACAUAUAUCAAAAUUCUGAAGGACAAGACAUAGCUUCUCACACGCGCGUAAACAGUACUAGUCUCUUUAAGUCAAGUUGACGAAGACGAAA